GAUGAAGAACGCAGCGAAAUGCGAUAAGUAAUGUGAAUUGCAGAAUUCAGUGAAUCAUCGAAUAUUUGAACGCACAUUGCGCCCCCUGGUAUUCCGGGGGGCAUGCCUGUCCGAGCGUCAUUACAACCCUCAAGCACAGCUUGGUGUUGGGCCCCGCCGCCCCGGCGGGCCCUAAAGUCAGUGGCGGUGCCGUCCGGCUCCGAGCGUAGUAAUUCUUCUCGCUCUGGAGGUCCGGUCGUGUGCUCGCCAGCAACCCCCAAUUUUUUUCAGGUUGACCUCGGAUCAGGUAGGGAUACCCGCUGAACUUAAGCAUAUCAAUAAGCGGAGGA
rnacentral:misc_RNA from 1 species